rnacentral:rRNA from 1 species
ACUCCUACGGGAGGCAGCAGUAAGGAAUCUUCCACAAUGGACGAAAGUCUGAUGGAGCAAUUCCGCGUGCAGGAUGAAGGCCCUCGGGUUGUAAACUGCUUUUAUUUGUGAAGAAUAUGACGGUAACAAAUGAAUAAGGGUCGGCUAACUACGUGCCAGCAGCCGCGGUCAUACGUAGGACCCAAGCGUUAUCCGGAGUGACUGGGCGUAAAGAGUUGCGUAGGUGGUUUGUAAAGUGAAUAGUGAAAUCUGGGGGCUCAACCUCCAGGCUAUUAUUCAAACUCACAAACUCGAGAAUGGUAGAGGUAACUGGAAUUUCUUGUGUAGGAGUGAAAUCCGUAGAUAUAAGAAGGAACACCAAUGGCGUAGGCAGGUUACUGGACCAUUUCUGACACUGAGGCACGAAAGCGUGGGGAGCGAACCGGAUUAGAUACCCGGGUAGUCCACGCCGUAAACUAUGGAUACUAGCUGUUGGAGGUAUCGACCCCUUCAGUAGCGAAGCUAACGCGUUAAGUAUCCCGCCUGUGGAGUACGGUCGCAAGACUAAAACAUAAAGGAAUUGACGGGGACCCGCACAAGCGGUGGAUCGUGUUCUUUAAUUCGAUGCUAAAC